GCCCCGGUGGCGGCGGCCCCCCCAGCCAGCCCCGCCGGCGCCUCCUCCGACCGCCGCGGGCCCCCGGGCCUGGGCCACAGCUCCGGGGCAGCCCCGAACCCGCCAGAGGCGCAGAAACCAGGAGGGAUGCGGCCUGGGAGCUGACACUCGGGCCCGGUCCAUUCAAUCAUUCUCUAUCCACGUGUCCCCUUGGCAGAGUCUCAGCCCUCUCUGCCCGUCCUUUGCUAGGUGCUGAGGACACGCACAACGGCGAGCAAGCGGAGCCCGGCCCUGUUCCCGCUGCCCUGCAGCCCAGUGGAUGGAGCCCACCGUCCGCAGACCUGCCAGGAAAGAAAACAAAAUUCCUGAGGGUUGUUCCAAGCAGGGAAUCCCCGGUGGAUUGAGGAAUGCGUGGCUUUUCUUCAGCUCACUGAUCUCUGUGGUAGCUACUGGCACCCAAAAAACGCCCAAGAAUGAAAGGCCUGUGAUUCGCAAGUUGCUGCUAGAGAUAUUUUAGCCUCUCCAGAUAGCAAUGCAGCUGCCACACAAGCUUGUAAGCCAGUUAAUUCCCCCACAUCUCAUCUAAUUGUACAUAGCUUUGCUGCUUAACGUUUGUUAAGUUGCGCGUAAAAGAGGAGGAUCAAUAGGCACUUCUGAUCUCCACGCCGAAGGGGACAGGAGUGAAUAACCGGAGGCUGGCAGCUGGGAGCAGAAGUGCCCCGGGGUUGGGGUUCCCCAAGGCCGCGGGGGCAUCGGGGAGCGUCAGCCCAGGGCCAGGGAGGGGAGCGGCCCGGGGUUGCCCUCUCGGGAGGACGCGCUCGCCCACGGGCCUUCUCUGGUCCCGCAGGGCCC
rnacentral:lncRNA from 1 species